CUGUAAUAGCUCAGUCGGUAGAGCAUCUGACUUUUAAUCAGGUGGUCGCAGGUUCGAUCCCUGCACGGCCCA
rnacentral:tRNA from 1 species